rnacentral:rRNA from 1 species
UACGGAGGGAGCUAGCGUUAUUCGGAAUUACUGGGCGGAAAGCGCACGUAGGCGGCUUUGUACGUUAGAGGUGAAAGCCUGGAGCUCAACUCCAGAAUUGCCUUUAAGACUGCAUCGCUUGAAUCCAGGAGAGGUGAGUGGAAUUCCGAGUGUAGAGGUGAAAUUCGUAGAUAUUCGCAAGAACACCAGUGGCGAAGGCGGCUCACUGGCCCGAUACUGACGCUGAGGCACGAAAGCGUGGGGAGCAAACAGG